AUGAACGCUGGCGGCGUGCCUAAUACACGCAAGUCGAGCGAACAGACGAGGAGCUUGCUCCUCUGACGUUAGCGGCGGACGGGUGAGUAACACGUGGAUAACCUACCUAUAAGACUGGGAUAACUUCGGGAAACCGGAGCUAAUACCGGAUAAUAUAUUGAACCGCAUGGUUCAAUAGUGAAAGACGGUUUUGCUGUCACUUAUAGAUGGAUCCGCGCCGCAUUAGCUAGUUGGUAAGGUAACGGCUUACCAAGGCAACGAUGCGUAGCCGACCUGAGAGGGUGAUCGACCACACUGGAACUGAGACACGGUCCAGACUCCUACGGGAGGCAGCAGUAGGGAAUCUUCCGCAAUGGGCGAAAGCCUGACGGAGCAACGCCGCGUGAGUGAUGAAGGUCUUCGGAUCGUAAAACUCUGUUAUUAGGGAAGAACAAAUGUGUAAGUAACUAUGCACGUCUUGACGGUACCUAAUCAGAAAGCCACGGCUAACUACGUG
rnacentral:rRNA from 1 species